rnacentral:rRNA from 1 species
AUGGCCGGAGGAGACGAGCUGAGGCUGCUGGGGACCUGGGCGAGCCCGCACGUCUUGCGAGUACGACUCGCGCUCCACCUCAAGGGCUUGGGCUACGAGUACGUGGAGGAGCAAGGCCUCAAGAACUACAAGAGCGAUGAGCUGCUCCUCAACAGUAAGCUGCCGGUGCUGACCCACGGCGGCAAGCCUGUCUACGGGACGUCGUUGAGCCUAAUCCAGGACCUCGACGAGGCCUUCACCGGCGCCGGCUCCUCCCUCCUCCCCGAAGGCCCCUCCGAGCGUGCUAUCGCUCGCUACUGGGGUGACUUUAUCGAUGACACGCUCGUCAAGGCGAUGGAGAAGGCGACAUGGAGCGUAACGUGCAGGGAGAAGGCAGGGGUGAAGGCCCAGAUGGCGGCCGCUAUGGAGACGCUAGAGGGAGCUAUGAGAGAGUGCUCCAAGCCCUUCUUCGGAGGCGAUAGCCCCGGAUAUGUGGAUGUGGUGCUCGGUGGCCUUCUUCCAUGGCUGUGCGUCACCGAUAAGAGACAACCCAGCAUGAAGACCUUCGACCCUAUCACCACGCCGCUCCUACUCGCAUGGCAGGACCGCUUCUGUUCGUUGAAAAAAGUUCAGGGACUCAUGCCAGAUGUGGGCGAGCUGGUCGACUUAGCCAGGCCGGUGCCUACUCACUGCUCCCGUGAAUCCCUGCAAGUUAUUUUAAUUUUGUCUUCACUUCUUGUGCAAAUUGCGACUGCAUGUAGUAGAUGA